rnacentral:misc_RNA from 1 species
UCCGAUUUACACCGGCGGUCUCCUAUGAGUUCCCGACUUUCUCGCUGGCAACAUAGGACGAGGGUUGCGCUCGUUGGCGGACUUAACCGUACACCUCACGGCACGAGCUGACGACAGCCAUGCAACAAGUGUCUUCAUGUCCCCUUGUGGGGGAGGCACGCAUCUCUGCGUGUUGCAAUCGAUGUCAAACCUGGGUAAGGUUCUUCGGUUAGUAUCGAAUUAAUCCACAUGCUCCACCGCUUGUGCGGGCCCCCGUCAAUUCGUUUGAGUUUCAGCCUUGCGACCGUACUCCCCAGGCGGGGCACUUACUGCGUUAGCGCCGGCACCGACGGGAUGUAUACCGCCGACACCUAGUGCCCAUCGUUUACAGCGUGGACUAC